rnacentral:rRNA from 1 species
CCAGACUCCUACGGGAGGCAGCAGUGGGGAAUAUUGCACAAUGGGGGAAACCCUGAUGCAGCGACGCCGCGUGAAGGAAGAAGUAUUUCGGUAUGUAAACUUCUAUCAGCAGGGAAGAAAAUGACGGUACCUGACUAAGAAGCCCCGGCUAACUACGUGCCAGCAGCCGCGGUAAUACGUAGGGGGCAAGCGUUAUCCGGAUUUACUGGGUGUAAAGGGAGCGUAGGCGGCGAUGCAAGUCAGAAGUGAAAGCCCGGGGCUCAACUCCGGGACUGCUUUUGAAACUGUGUUUCUUGAGUGCUGGAGAGGCAGACGGAAUUCCUAGUGUAGCGGUGAAAUGCGUAGAUAUUAGGAGGAACACCAGUGGCGAAGGCGGUCUGCUGGACAGCAACUGACGCUGAGGCGCGAAAGCGUGGGGAGCAAACAGGAUUAGAUACCCGAGUA